GCCAGGCGUGGUGGCACGUGCCUGUAGUCCCAGCUACUCAAGAGGCUGAGGUGGGAGGAUAGCUUGAGCCCAGGAGUUCUGGGCUGUAGUGCACUAUGCUGAUCAGGUGUCCCCACUAAGUUCGGCAUCAGUAUGGUGACCUCCUGGGAGCCAGGAACCACCAGGUUGCCUAAGGAGGGGUGAACCGGCCCAGGUUGAAAAGGGAGCAGGUCAAAACUCCGGUGCUGAUCAGUAGUGGGAUUGCACCUGUGAAUAGCCACUGCACUCCAGCCUGGGCAACAUAGCGAGACCUCAUCUCU
rnacentral:SRP_RNA from 1 species